rnacentral:lncRNA from 1 species
UGAGAGCACCGCGGCUACCUGGCUUCCCUGAGUCCCGGCUGCCGGGAACGGGCGCGGGGGUGAAUAGUAAGUGGCAGCACUGUGGAAUGGGGAACAGAUGGAAGAAUGAGCAGCUGGGAGGCACACUCUUGCAAAAACCCAGGCAAGAGACAAUAAAGACCUCUGUCGUAGGGAUGGUGAGGAGAAGAUGAACUAGAGACAUUUAGAAAUAAGAACCAAUAGCACAAGGGAACCAGCUGAAGGUGGGGCAUAGAAAGAAAAAAUCUGAGGUCAAGAAUACAAUUUUUUGCUCAUUUGAACAAAGUUUGGGAAUACAGGAAGAAGAGCAGAUUAAAGGAUUCAAGUAGGGACAGGAGCUUCCACUCAUGAGUUUAUUUUGUACAUGCUGAGUUUGAAGUGCCUGUGGAAUGACCAGGUAGGAAAUACUUGUGUGGCGCUAAGGAGUGAGAUGAAGGCUUGAGAUCUGGAAGUGGAUGACAACAAAGGACAGAGAGAGGGGAGAUGUCAGCAAAUGGGAUGAGCAGAGAGGAGUAAUCAAAGAACAACCUAAGAGACUGUGGGAGGACAAAGAAAGGGUAUUAUGGAAGCUGAAUAAGACAAUUUCAAGGAAAGCAUAGUCAUCAGUGAGAUCAAGUUGGAAGAGGCCUGAAAAGAGGCCACUAAUAUAGGUGGUUGUAAUUCCUUCUUUUUUUUUUUUUUUUUGAGACAAGGUCACAGCUUACUGCAGCCUCGACCUCCUGGGCUCAAAGGAUCCUCCCACCUCAGCCUCCCCAGUAGCUAGGAAUACAGGUGUGUGCCACCACCCUCGGCUAAUUUUUUUAUUUUUUGUAGAGACGGGGUCUUCCCAUGUUAUCCAGGCUGGUCUCAAACUCCGGGGUUCAAGCGUUCCUCUUGCCUCGGCCUCCAAAAGUGCAGUGAUUACAGGCAUGAGCCACAGCACCUGGCCUAUAUUUCAUCAUUUUUAAAAGGUAAAGAGAGAGAGAAAGGCUACUAGCAUCAGUAAUGAGGAGGGUGCUGGCACAUUUAUAGGAGCACUGUUUGCUGAUGCCUGAAAUGGCUCUAAUGGCACACAAUCUUUCAUUCUGCAAUAAGAAACAAACGCUUAAAAUUGAAGUGCCUCCUUAAAUUAAAACAACAAAGUCAUUUUCUCAAAAAUGUAAUGAAUCACAACAUUUUAGAACUGGAAACGUGCUUGCUGGUCACCUCAGC